AACGAACGCUGGCGGCAUGCCUAACACAUGCAAGUCGAACGAGACCUUCGGGUCUAGUGGCGCACGGGUGCGUAACGCGUGGGAACUUGCCCUUAGGUUCGGAAUAACUCCCCGAAAGGGGUGCUAAUACCGGAUAAUGUCUUCGGACCAAAGAUUUAUCGCCUUUGGAUGGGCCCGCGUUGGAUUAGCUAGUUGGUAGGGUAAAGGCCUACCAAGGCGACGAUCCAUAGCUGGUCUGAGAGGAUGAUCAGCCACACUGGGACUGAGACACGGCCCAGACUCCUACGGGAGGCAGCAGUGGGGAAUAUUGGACAAUGGGCGAAAGCCUGAUCCAGCAAUGCCGCGUGAGUGAUGAAGGCCUUAGGGUUGUAAAGCUCUUUUACCCGGGAUGAUAAUGACAGUACCGGGAGAAUAAGCUCCGGCUAACUCCGUG
rnacentral:rRNA from 1 species